CGCUGCUCGGCCGCCGCCGCGUGGGCAGCGCAGGCCCCGACGCCUCACGGGGUCGCCCUGGCCGCAGUUCCGGGGCUUAGCCGUUCGGACACGUUCUCCUUAAAAAGCAGCAGCAACUGUCGGGACUUCUGUCCUCUCAGAGCACUUGGACGGCGGCUGAUUUUACUUCAGAGAUGAGGACUUAAGACGAUGCAGUGUCUUUUAAUCUUCUCAGAGAUGAGAUCUUUAUAUCAUUUACCAAAAGUAAAAAUAGGAAAUACUGUCUUCACCAUCGUAGGUGUUCAGCCUGUGACACACAAAUUGAUCAACCCGAUUUAGGGAACAUUGACUAUAUUUCAAGACCCAUAAUGUUGCUUUUCAGGGGAAGACCUUUUGUUUGGAACAUCCCACCUGCAAAGUCCUUUGAACAUUCUCAGAUAUUGCCUUAAGAGCAAACAGUAGCACCAUAUAUAUACAAAAAUAAGAUGUGCAGCAAGACUUCAAGAGUGAUUGCUCAGAAUAUAUUGUCCACUUGUGGACUCGGUCCUGCAGUGUUUGCCUUGGCUUGCCCCUUUAUUUUACCCUUACCUGCUGUUACCUUCAAACUACCAACGGCUGUUUUUGUUUUUUUGUUUUUUAAGAUUUAUUUGAGAGGGAGAGAGGGGGAGCAUGAGCAAGGGGAGGAGCAAACAGAGAAGCAGGCUCCCUGCUGAGCAGGGAGCCCAA